AUGCAAGGAAGGAUGGUUGGCGACAUCGCGUUUUGUAACCGCGAGCUCUAUGGCCUCAUUGGUCCCGACGAAGAGCUGGUCAGGUUUGAAAUCGACAUGGAACAAGAUGGCACGCCGGUCAUCACAUCCAGUCACCCCCUGGCCAUCCAAAGGCGCCACGGUCCCAUGAAUAAGGACGAUCCCAUGGUGUACCGUGCCCACAUCUUCGAGCUACACGGCAAGCCAUCAAUGGCCAUACGGACCCGAUGGUUGCCCAACCGUGAGCCUUUCUUUAAGAUCUUCACGCUUGUCGAUACCGAUAAAGUUGAGGCUUACAAAUACAAGUGGGCAGAAGUGGUGAAUUUUGAUGAGCACGCCUUGUUCUUGGCGCCAAAUUGGUCUAAGGCGGUGCACGUGGCGGUAGGCCAACAUCAUGGUUUGAAGAGAAAUCAUAUCUACUACGGUGCACAAAUCUUAUGGGGAACAAACGAGUUGCCGGAUGAUAUUGUGUACUCCAUGAAAAUAAAUGACGACGAGCACAUGUAUUGCAGAGAAGACCGAAGUGUCGGCGAUAGUGUGGAGAGGACAGAAUAUCACCUGGAGGGUUUUAUCAGUUCUCACAUGUGGCUUUACCCUCCAAAUUUGUAG
rnacentral:rRNA from 1 species